rnacentral:sRNA from 1 species
ACCUUCGACCGAGGUUCGACUCGAGCGAAAGCGAGAGAACGUUGCCGCAGGCAACGGCCCGAAGAGUGAGGCGCGAAGCGACGAAUAAUCCUUCCCCCACCACCA